rnacentral:rRNA from 1 species
GACGAACGCUGGCGGCGCGCCUAACACAUGCAAGUCGAACGAGCGAGAGAGAGCUUGCUUUCUCAAGCGAGUGGCGCACGGGUGAGUAACGCGUGAGGAACCUGCCUCUAAGAGGGGGACAACAGUUGGAAACGACUGCUAAUACCGCAUAAGCCCACGACCCCGCCUCGGGUCAAGGGAAAAGGAGCGAUCCGCUUUGAGAUGGCCUCGCGUCCGAUUAGCUAGAUGGUGAGGUAACGGCCCACCAAGGCGACGAUCGGUAGACGGACUGAGAGGGUGAACGGCCACACUGGGACUGAGACACGGCCCAGACUCCUACGGGAGGCAGCAGUGGGGAAUAUUGCAAAAUGGGGGAAACCCUGAUGCAGCGACGCCGCGUGGAGGAAGAAGGUCUUCGGAUUGUAAACUCCUGUUGUCGAGGAAGAUAAUGACGGUACUCAACAAGGAAGUGACGGCUAACUACGUG